UACGUAGGUGGCAAGCGUUGUCCGGAUUUACUGGGCGUAAAGCGAACGCAGGCGGACUGUUAAGUAGGAAGUGAAAGGUUGGAGCUCAACUCUAACACUGCUCCCUAUACUGGCAGUCUUGAGUGGCGGAGAGGGAGAUGGAACGACACGUGUAGCGGUGAAAUGCGUUGAUAUGUGUCGGAACACCAAUGGCGAAAGCAAUCUCCUGGACGCAAACUGACGCUGAGGUUCGAAAGCCAAGGUAGCAAACAGG
rnacentral:rRNA from 1 species